UGAGGAAUAUUGGUCAAUGGGCGAGAGCCUGGACCGGCCAAGUCGCGUGAGGGAAGACGGUCCUACGGAUUGUAAACCUCUUUUGUCGGGGAGUAAUAGGCGGGACGUGUCCUGCUGUGAGAGUACCCGAAGAAAAAGCAUCGGCUAACUCCGUGCCAGCAGCCGCGGUAAUACGGAGGAUGCGAGCGUUAUCCGGAUUUAUUGGGUUUAAAGGGUGCGCAGGCGGCGCGAAAAGUCAGCGGUCAAAAAUUCCGGGCUCAACCCGGUGACGCCGUUGAAACUUUCGUGCUGGAGUUCGUGCGAGGGAGGCGGAAUGCGUUGUGUAGCGGUGAAAUGCAUAGAUAUGACGCAGAACCCCGAUUGCGAAGGCAGCUUUCCAGCACGCGACUGACGCUGAGGCACGAAAGCGUGGG
rnacentral:rRNA from 1 species